GGGCCCGCACAAGCGGUGGAGCAUGUGGUUUAAUUCGAUGAUACGCGAGGAACCUUACCUAGGCUUAAAUGUAGAUUGACGUAUUGGGAAACCAGUAUUUCUUCGGACAAUCUACAAGGUGCUGCAUGGUUGUCGUCAGCUCGUGCCGUGAGGUGUCGGGUUAAGUCCCAUAACGAGUGCAACCCCUAUCAUUAGUUGCUAACAUUUAGUUGAGGACUCUAAUGAAACUGCCCGCGUAAGCGGUGAGGAAGGUGGGGAUGACGUCAAAUCAUCACGGCCCUUACGUCUAGGGCUACACACGUGCUACAAUGGUAACUACAGAGGGAAGCUAUCUGGUGACAGUGAGCAAAUCCUUAAAAGUUAUCCCAGUUCGGAUUGAAGUCUGCAACUCGACUUCAUGAAGUUGGAAUCGCUAGUAAUCG
rnacentral:rRNA from 1 species